rnacentral:tRNA from 1 species
GGGCGAUUAGCUCAGUUGGUUAGAGCGCCUCGUUUACACCGAGGAAGUCGGGGGUUCGAGUCCCUCAUCGCCCA